ACUUAGGGAGAACACACAUGCUAAUUGAAUAAUAAACUUAGAAACAGCAUUUUUUCAAAGCAUUCUGGUCUAUUUUUUCCAUAACAGAUUCAAGACACUGGUAGACUAACUGUGCUCCUAUUAGGUACAUAAUGCAUGUUACAUAAAUGGCGUAAUUAUGUUUUUACUGUACUUGAUGGAUUUUAACAUGCACUUUAAAUGUCACGAUACUAUGAGCAGCAGCUGUAAAAAAUACCAUCUCACUGUUUCUUAUUUAUUUCCCCCUCUCAGUGAUUUCCAAAGCGGUUUUAAAAGUCUGAAAGAGUGCUAACUACCACUAUUGCCAUCUCAGGAUGGUGUGCAAAUAUAUUUCUACCUGACAUAUCUCCCUCCUCCACCAGUGCCAAUUAUAACACAGAUGGACUCAAGGGAUUACUGACAAUUUCUUUAAUGAUGUGUGAGAGCUUCCUCUGCCCAUUUAGAUUUACUCUCCAACACUGACAGUGACAAAAAGAUGCCCUCUCUGUGUCCUACUGUCAAUGGAUGCCAUGGAGCGUCUCUCAAUUCUAUUUCAAAAUCUGCUAGCAGAGAGGGAAGUGAAGACUAAUCUGAGGAUUCAAAAUGGAAUGUUCAGCUUUGACUGAGACACCAGACUUGGCUGAAGUCUCAUAAUGACAAAGGAUUUGUAGCAAAACCAAUUCUUUGUGGAAGAGGGAGUCUGAGAACACAAGAAAAAAAGAGCAGAAAUGGUACUUUUAGAGUAUACUUCAUAGAGCAGUGCGAGGACCAAUAAAUGUGCUAACUGGGCCUGGAAAAUUAUAUCUUCCUUUGUAUAGAUUAUUCUCUAGAAGAAUGUAAGUAUACUUUGCUUAAGGCUUUCUUCCCCCGAUUAUUUUGUGAGGAAUGAGAGAGUUAGAAUCAUAUAAGAAUAGAAUAAUUAAUGUUGGUGAAGAUCGAUAAGAUCAUCUAAUCACAGAAUGGCCAGCGUUGGAAGGGACCUCAAGGAUCAUGAA